rfam:Bacteroidetes bacterium 12B contig21277392, whole genome shotgun sequence.
UUGCGGUGGGUAAGUCUUGCACGACCAGCUCCCCUUGAAACUCCCCAGGGCCGGAAGGCAGCAAGGAUAGAGGGUCGUAGCGGUGCGAUGCAAGUAGCUUACCCACUU